rnacentral:rRNA from 1 species
UGAGGAAUAUUGGUCAAUGGUCGCGAGACUGAACCAGCCAAGUAGCGUGCAGGAUGACGGCCCUCUGGGUUGUAAACUGCUUUUAGUUGGGAAUAAAAGGCGGUACGUGUACCGCGUAUUGUAUGUACCAUCAGAAAAAGGACCGGCUAAUUCCGUGCCAGCAGCCGCGGUAAUACGGAAGGUCCAGGCGUUAUCCGGAUUUAUUGGGUUUAAAGGGAGCGUAGGCGGAUUUUUAAGUCAGUUGUGAAAGUUUGAGGCUCAACCUUAAAAUUGCAGUUGAAACUGGAAGUCUUGAGUGCACGCAGAGGUGCCGGAAUUCAUGGUGUAGCGGUGAAAUGCUUAGAUAUCACGAAGAACUCCGAUUGCGAAGGCAGCUCGCUGUAGCAUUACUGACGCUGAAGCUCGAAGGUGCGGGUAUCGAACAGGAUUAGAUACCCUGGUAGU